GGUUAAGCGACUAAGCGUACACGGUGGAUGCCCUGGCAGUCAGAGGCGAUGAAGGACGUGCUAAUCUGCGAUAAGCGCCGGUAAGGUGAUAUGAACCGUUAUAACCGGCGAUUUCCGAAUGGGGAAACCCAGUGUGACUCGUCACACUAUCAUUAACUGAAUCCAUAGGUUAAUGAGGCGAACCGGGGGAACUGAAACAUCUAAGUACCCCGAGGAAAAGAAAUCAACCGAGAUUCCCCCAGUAGCGGCGAGCGAACGGGGAGGAGCCCAGAGCCUGAAUCAGCAUGUGUGUUAGUGGAAGCGUCUGGAAAGGCGCGCGAUACAGGGUGACAGCCCCGUACACAAAAGCGCAUGUGCUGUGAGCUCGAUGAGUAGGGCGGGACACGUGGUAUCCUGUCUGAAUAUGGGGGGACCAUCCUCCAAGGCUAAAUACUCCUGACUGACCGAUAGUGAACCAGUACCGUGAGGGAAAGGCGAAAAGAACCCCGGCGAGGGGAGUGAAAAAGAACCUGAAACCGUGUACGUACAAGCAGUGGGAGCACCCUUUGGGGUGUGACUGCGUACCUUUUGUAUAAUGGGUCAGCGACUUAUAUUCUGUAGCAAGGUUAACCGUAUAGGGGAGCCGCAGGGAAACCGAGUCUUAACCGGGCGUUAAGUUGCAGGGUAUAGACCCGAAACCCGGUGAUCUAGCCAUGGGCAGGUUGAAGGUUGGGUAACACUAACUGGAGGACCGAACCGACUAAUGUUGAAAAAUUAGCGGAUGAUCUGUGGCUGGGGGUGAAAGGCCAAUCAAACCGGGAGAUAGCUGGUUCUCCCCGAAAGCUAUUUAGGUAGCGCCUCGUGAACUCAUCUCCGGGGGUAGAGCACUGUUUCGGCUAGGGGGCCAUCCCGGCUUACCAACCCGAUGCAAACUGCGAAUACCGGAGAAUGUUAUCACGGGAGACACACGGCGGGUGCUAACGUCCGUCGUGAAGAGGGAAACAACCCAGACCGCCAGCUAAGGUCCCAAAGUCAUGGUUAAGUGGGAAACGAUGUGGGAAGGCCCAGACAGCCAGGAUGUUGGCUUAGAAGCAGCCAUCAUUUAAAGAAAGCGUAAUAGCUCACUGGUCGAGUCGGCCUGCGCGGAAGAUGUAACGGGGCUAAACCAUGCACCGAAGCUGCGGCAGCGACACUGUGUGUUGUUGGGUAGGGGAGCGUUCUGUAAGCCUGUGAAGGUGGCCUGUGAGGGUUGCUGGAGGUAUCAGAAGUGCGAAUGCUGACAUAAGUAACGAUAAAGCGGGUGAAAAGCCCGCUCGCCGGAAGACCAAGGGUUCCUGUCCAACGUUAAUCGGGGCAGGGUGAGUCGACCCCUAAGGCGAGGCCGAAAGGCGUAGUCGAUGGGAAACGGGUUAAUAUUCCCGUACUUGGUGUUACUGCGAAGGGGGGACGGAGAAGGCUAUGUUGGCCGGGCGACGGUUGUCCCGGUUUAAGCGUGUAGGCUGGUUUUCCAGGCAAAUCCGGAAAAUCAAGGCUGAGGCGUGACGACGAGGCACUACGGUGCUGAAGCAACAAAUGCCCUGCUUCCAGGAAAAGCCUCUAAGCAUCAGGUAACACGAAAUCGUACCCCAAACCGACACAGGUGGUCAGGUAGAGAAUACCAAGGCGCUUGAGAGAACUCGGGUGAAGGAACUAGGCAAAAUGGUGCCGUAACUUCGGGAGAAGGCACGCUGACACGUAGGUGAAGUGAUUUACUCAUGGAGCUGAAGUCAGUCGAAGAUACCAGCUGGCUGCAACUGUUUAUUAAAAACACAGCACUGUGCAAACACGAAAGUGGACGUAUACGGUGUGACGCCUGCCCGGUGCCGGAAGGUUAAUUGAUGGGGUCAGCGCAAGCGAAGCUCCUGAUCGAAGCCCCGGUAAACGGCGGCCGUAACUAUAACGGUCCUAAGGUAGCGAAAUUCCUUGUCGGGUAAGUUCCGACCUGCACGAAUGGCGUAAUGAUGGCCAGGCUGUCUCCACCCGAGACUCAGUGAAAUUGAACUCGCUGUGAAGAUGCAGUGUACCCGCGGCAAGACGGAAAGACCCCGUGAACCUUUACUAUAGCUUGACACUGAACAUUGAGCCUUGAUGUGUAGGAUAGGUGGGAGGCUUUGAAGUGUGGACGCCAGUCUGCAUGGAGCCGACCUUGAAAUACCACCCUUUAAUGUUUGAUGUUCUAACGUGGACCCGUAAUCCGGGUUGCGGACAGUGUCUGGUGGGUAGUUUGACUGGGGCGGUCUCCUCCUAAAGAGUAACGGAGGAGCACGAAGGUUGGCUAAUCCUGGUCGGACAUCAGGAGGUUAGUGCAAUGGCAUAAGCCAGCUUGACUGCGAGCGUGACGGCGCGAGCAGGUGCGAAAGCAGGUCAUAGUGAUCCGGUGGUUCUGAAUGGAAGGGCCAUCGCUCAACGGAUAAAAGGUACUCCGGGGAUAACAGGCUGAUACCGCCCAAGAGUUCAUAUCGACGGCGGUGUUUGGCACCUCGAUGUCGGCUCAUCACAUCCUGGGGCUGAAGUAGGUCCCAAGGGUAUGGCUGUUCGCCAUUUAAAGUGGUACGCGAGCUGGGUUUAGAACGUCGUGAGACAGUUCGGUCCCUAUCUGCCGUGGGCGCUGGAGAACUGAGGGGGGCUGCUCCUAGUACGAGAGGACCGGAGUGGACGCAUCACUGGUGUUCGGGUUGUCAUGCCAAUGGCACUGCCCGGUAGCUAAAUGCGGAAGAGAUAAGUGCUGAAAGCAUCUAAGCACGAAACUUGCCCCGAGAUGAGUUCUCCCUGAGACUUAGAGUCUCCUGAAGGAACGUUGAAGACGACGACGUUGAUAGGCCGGGUGUGUAAGCGCAGCGAUGCGUUGAGCUAACCGGUACUAAUGAACCGUGAGGCUUAACCUU
rnacentral:rRNA from 1 species